GAUGAAGAACGCAGCAAAAUGCGAUAAGUAGUGUGAAUUGCAGAAUUCAGUGAAUCAUCGAAUCUUUGAACGCACAUUGCGCCCUUUGGUAUUCCAAAGGGCAUGCCUGUUCGAGCGUCAUUUGUACCCUCAAGCUUUGCUUGGUGUUGGGCGUCUUGUCUCUAGCUUUGCUGGAGACUCGCCUUAAAGUAAUUGGCAGCCGGCCUACUGGUUUCGGAGCGCAGCACAAGUCGCACUCUCUAUCAGCAAAGGUCUAGCAUCCAUUAAGCCUUUUUUUCAACUUUUGACCUCGGAUCAGGUAGGGAUACCCGCUGAACUUAAGCAUAUCAAUAAGCGGAGGA
rnacentral:misc_RNA from 1 species